GGCUCAGGAUGAACGCUAGCGGCAGGCUUAAUACAUGCAAGUCGUGGGGCAGCAUGAGUAGCAAUACUUGAUGGCGACCGGCAAACGGGUGAGGAACACGUACACAACCUUCCUUCAAGCGGGGAAUAGCCCAGAGAAAUUUGGAUUAAUACCCCAUAAUAUAUUUGAUAAGGCAUCUUAUUAAUAUUAAAGCUUCGGCACUUGAUGAUGGGUGUGCGGCUGAUUAGAUAGUUGGCGGGGUAACGGCCCACCAAGUCUACGAUCAGUAGCUGAUGUGAGAGCAUGAUCAGCCACACGGGCACUGAGACACGGGCCCGACUCCUACGGGAGGCAGCAGUAAGGAAUAUUGGACAAUGGACGAAAGUCCGAUCCAGCCAUGCCGCGUGAAGGAUUAAGGUCCUCUGGAUUGUAAACUUCUUUUAUAUGGGACGAAAAAAGGGCAUUCUUGUUCACUUGACGGUACCAUAUGAAUAAGCACCGGCUAACUCCGUG
rnacentral:rRNA from 1 species